UGGCUGCAAGGGCUUUGUUCUUGUUUUAAAUAGUUAAAGUAGACUGGGUUUUUCUUUUUUAUGGUGAAUUCUUGGGAAUAUUGGCUUGUAUCUGUGGCAAAGGUUUUCAAUAGUACUUUCUUUCCUUUUCAGGUCACAGUAUUCUAAGAAAUCGAACAGUGUGCCACCCUCCCCAGUGUGGGUACAGACUCAGGAGUAGACAGCUUUCAGGCACUGAUUUCAUACUCCCAAUAGGUAAAUGAAGAAUUCAGAGUCCAAGGGUCAUAGACAUAAAAAAGAAAGAAAAAAAUCAAAGAACUUGAAACACAAUUCUAGCAAUGUGCAAAGCAGGAGCAUGACACCUCAGAUGGCUCAUCAAUUUCAGGAACUCUUCCAAAGCAUGCACCAUCAAAUUGAGAGCCAUCCCCACCGCUAUCCCCACUACUAUGACCCCUCCCCGAGGGACCUUCUCUUCUUCCUCCAGCUGCUUUACCUGCACUAAGUGGUAAACAUCACCGCUAUCAUCUUGCUUUGGGGAGCCUCUCCUCUGCCACCACCUUUGUUCGGGGACCUCCUUUUCAGGCACACAACCUGCUCUGUCAUUUAGAAGGAAGCAGAAAUAAAUUAAU